AUUGAACGCUGGCGGAAUGCUUUACACAUGCAAGUCGAACGGUAGAGGGGCAACCCUUGAGAGUGGCGAACGGGUGAGUAAUGUAUCGGAACAUGCCCAGUCGUGGGGGAUAACGUAGCGAAAGUUACGCUAAUACCGCAUACGAUCUAUGGAUGAAAGCGGGGGAUCGCAAGACCUCGCGCGAUUGGAGUGGCCGAUAUCAGAUUAGGUAGUUGGUGGGGUAAAGGCCUACCAAGCCGACGAUCUGUAGCUGGUCUGAGAGGACGACCAGCCACACUGGGACUGAGACACGGCCCAGACUCCUACGGGAGGCAGCAGUGGGGAAUUUUGGACAAUGGGCGCAAGCCUGAUCCAGCCAUUCCGCGUGCAGGAAGAAGGCCUUCGGGUUGUAAACUGCUUUUGUACGGAACGAAACGCGCUGAGCUAAUACCUCGGCGUAAUGACGGUACCGUAAGAAUAAGCACCAGCUAACUACGUGCCAGCAGCCGCAGUAAAAC
rnacentral:rRNA from 1 species